UGAAGUAAAAAGUCGUAACAAGGUUUCCGUAGGUGAACCUGCGGAAGGAUCAUUAAUUAUGUUAAAGCGCCUUACCUUAGGGUUUCCUCUGGGGUAAGUGAUUGCUUCUACACUGUGAAAAUUUGGCUGAGAGACUCAGACUGGUCAUGGGUAGACCUAUCUGGGGUUUGAUCGAUGCCACUCCUGGUUUCAGGAGUACCCUUCAUAAUAAACCUAGAAAUUCAGUAUUAUAAAGUUUAAUAAAAAACAACUUUUAACAAUGGAUCUCUUGGUUCUCGCAUCGAUGAAGAACGUAGCAAAGUGCGAUAACUAGUGUGAAUUGCAUAUUCAGUGAAUCAUCGAGUCUUUGAACGCAGCUUGCACUCUAUGGUUUUUCUAUAGAGUACGCCUGCUUCAGUAUCAUCACAAACCCACACAUAACAUUUGUUUAUGUGGUGAUGGGUCGCAUCGCUGUUUUAUUACAGUGAGCACCUAAAAUGUGUGUGAUUUUCUGUCUGGCUUGCUAGGCAGGAAUAUUACGCUGGUCUCAGGAUCUUUUUUUUUGGUUCGCCCAGGAAGUAAAGUACAAGAGUAUAAUCCAGUAACUUUCAAACUAUGAUCUGAAGUCAGGUGGGAUUACCCGCUGAACUUAAGCAUAUCAUAA
rnacentral:rRNA from 1 species